rnacentral:rRNA from 1 species
AAUCAACGCUGGCGGCGUGCCUCAGACAUGCAAGUCGAACGAUUAAAGCUCUCUUCGGAGAGUGUAUAGAGUGGCGCACGGGUGAGUAACACGUAAGUAAUCUACCCUCGAGUGGGGAAUAACGUUCGGAAACGAACGCUAAUACCGCAUAACGCAGCGGCACCGCAAGGUGACAGUUGUUAAAGGAGUAAUUCGCUUGA